CCUACGGGUGGCAGCAGUGGGGAAUAUUGCACAAUGGGGGAAACCCUGAUGCAGCGACGCCGCGUGAGUGAAGAAGUAUUUCGGUAUGUAAAGCUCUAUCAGCAGGGAAGAAAAUGACGGUACCUGACCAAGAAGCCCCGGCUAACUACGUGCCAGCAGCCGCGGUAAUACGUAGGGGGCAAGCGUUAUCCGGAUUUACUGGGUGUAAAGGGAGCGUAGACGGCUGAGCAAGUCAGAAGUGAAAGCCCGGGGCUCAACCCCGGGACUGCUUUUGAAACUGCAUGGCUGGAGUGCAGGAGAGGUAAGCGGAAUUCCUGGUGUAGCGGUGAAAUGCGUAGAUAUCAGGAGGAACACCAGUGGCGAAGGCGGCUUACUGGACUGUAACUGACGUUGAGGCUCGAAAGCGUGGGGAGCAAACAGGAUUAGAUACCCUUGUAGUC
rnacentral:rRNA from 1 species